GAAACUGCGAAUGGCUCAUUAUAUAAGUUAUCGUUUAUUUGAUAGUACCUUACUACUUGGAUAACCGUGGUAAUUCUAGAGCUAAUACAUGCUAAAAAUCCCGACUUCGGAAGGGAUGUAUUUAUUAGAUUAAAAACCAAUGCCCUCUGGGCUUCUUGGUGAUUCAUGAUAACUUCUCGAAUCGCACGGCCUUGCGCCGGCGAUGGUUCAUUCAAAUUUCUUCCCUAUCAACUUUCGAUGUUUGGGUAGUGGCCAAACAUGGUUGCAACGGGUAACGGAGGGUUAGGGCUCGACCCCGGAGAAGGAGCCUGAGAAACGGCUACUACAUCCAAGGAAGGCAGCAGGCGCGCAAAUUACCCAAUCCCGACACGGGGAGGUAGUGACAAUAAAUACUGAUACAGGGCUCUUUUGGGUCUUGUAAUUGGAAUGAGUACAAUUUAAAUCCCUUAACGAGGAACAAUUGGAGGGCAAGUCUGGUGCCAGCAGCCGCGGUAAUUCCAGCUCCAAUAGCGUAUAUUAAAGUUGUUGUGGUUAAAAAGCUCGUAGUUGAACCUUGGGCCUGGCUGGCCGGUCCGCCUCACCGCGUGUACUGGUCCGGCCGGGCCUUUCCCUCUGUGGAACCCCAUGCCCUUCACUGGGUGUGGCGGGGAAACAGGACUUUUACUUUGAAAAAAUUAGAGUGCUCCAGGCAGGCCUAUGCUCGAAUACAUUAGCAUGGAAUAAUAGAAUAGGACGUGUGGUUCUAUUUUGUUGGUUUCUAGGACCGCCGUAAUGAUUAAUAGGGACAGUCGGGGGCAUCAGUAUUCAAUUGUCAGAGGUGAAAUUCUUGGAUUUAUUGAAGACUAACUACUGCGAAAGCAUUUGCCAAGGAUGUUUUCAUUAAUCAGGAACGAAAGUUAGGGGAUCGAAGACGAUCAGAUACCGUCGUAGUCUUAACCAUAAACUAUGCCGACUAGGGAUCGGACGAUGUUACUUAUUGACUCGUUCGGCACCUUACGAGAAAUCAAAGUG
rnacentral:rRNA from 1 species